UUUUGACAUUUUCAGAAAGCCAGCGGGAGANGCAGGUGUGCCUUCGGGAACUGUAAGACAGGUGCUGCAUGGCUGUCGUCAGCUCGUGUUGUGAAAUGUUGGGUUAAGUCCCGCAACGAGCGCAACCCUUAUCCUUGUUUGCCAGCACUUCGGGUGGGAACUCCAGGGAGACUGCCGGUGAUAAACCGGAGGAAGGUGGGGACGACGUCAAGUCAUCAUGGCCCUUACGAGUAGGGCUACACACGUGCUACAAUGGCGCAUACAGAGGGCGGCCAACUUGCGAAAGUGAGCGAAUCCCAAAAAGUGCGUCGUAGUCCGGAUUGGAGUCUGCAACUCGACUCCAUGAAGUCGGAAUCGCUAGUAAUCGUGGAUCAGAAUGCCACGGUGAAUACGUUCCCGGGCCUUGUACACACCGCCCGUCACACCAUGGGAGUGGGCUGCAAAAGAAGUGGGUAGUUUAACCUUCGGGAGGACGCUCACCACUUUGUGGUUCAUGACUGGGGUGAAGUCGUAACAAGGUAACCG
rnacentral:rRNA from 1 species